UACGGGGGGGGCAAGCGUUGUUCGGAAUUACUGGGCGUAAAGCGCGUGUAGGCGGCUCUUCAAGUCGAGUGUGAAAGCUCCAGGCUUAACCUGGGAAUUGCGCUCGAUACUGUUGAGCUAGAGUGUGGAAGGGGCUACUGGAAUUCCGUGUGUAGCGGUGAAAUGCGCAGAUAUACGGAGGAACACCUGCGGCGAAGGCGGGUAGCUGGGCCAACACUGACGCUGAGACGCGAAAGCUAGGGGAGCAAACGGG
rnacentral:rRNA from 1 species